rnacentral:lncRNA from 1 species
CAGACUCCUCGAAGCCAUAUCUUGCUAGUUGCCGCAUAUUUUUUUUGGACUUGUGCAGAGCAACCCCGAUGUCUGUCCUAGAUCCAGCUUUCUCCUGCUAGAUCUCCUGGCUUUCUCCACCUAUCUGUGCCCUCUCCAAUAGUGGAGACACCUUUGGGAAGUGCUCCACCUGACUAUCAUGUCUCCCAAGUAUACCUACAAAAGGCAAAAUCGAAUAAAAGGUUAGU